AUACGGGUAUGGAUCUAGAGUUUCUCGGACUCGGACUCGGCAUGAUCUAAAUUUUAAGAUUCGUGGGUACGGAUCCGGGUACGGAUACGGGUGCGGGGAUUCGGCAAAAAUAAUUCAAAAUUCUAAUAAUAUAGCUACAAGAAUAUGCCUAGAUUAUGAGAGCUUUUUGUGGAAGCACUUACAUGUAGUUUGUACCAGACAUGUGAUUCAAUCUUCCAUUCUACUAGAACAUCUGAAACAGAGAUAGAGAAACUAGUUAAAUUUUCUACAUAAUAUUGAAGGUAUGCCAUCUCAUGUCUUCAAAUCUCUACUUUUUGUUAUCUUGAGAAAUCAUAAUCUCAAAAUUUUUCUUUAAUUUGGUCAUGAAUUUCGGUCAAA